UUUGAUGAUUGUUGGUUACUCAAAUUCCAACUGCCUGGCAACCUCAAAAGAUAUGUACUCAAAUUCCAACUGUUUGUUGAAUUUACGCUGAUGCCAAAAAGCUAUUGGAAAAAGUGAAGGAGCGUAGAUUGUAACAUUUUUAUGGUGGGAUACAUAUAUUCCAUCAUCAAUGGCACACCUAACGUAACGCACAGCUACCCCUCAAUCAGAAACCAUUCGUCAAUGCACACUAACUUUCCAAUCAAAUACAUGAGAGAAUCCCCCACUAUUGGCAUUCGAUCAGAUCUUCGCAUUGCUGUCACAUUGCAACCCAAACGGCAAAUCAACUACAGCCUGCAAUAUGAUGUACCAAGUAGUAUCCAAUGUAUCGUGUUGUAUGAAAUUUUCUAUAUUAUGUAUAUAUAGAUGAUUUGUGUGCAUAUUGUAUCAAAUGCACUAUCCAAUGUAUCAUGUUGUAUCAAAUUUAUCAGUGUAACUAGUAGAAAUGUAUCUAGUAGAAA